rnacentral:misc_RNA from 1 species
UCCGGUUUGUCACCGGCAGUCUCCCAUGAGUCCCCGCCAUCACGCGCUGGCAACAUGGAACGAGGGUUGCGCUCGUUGCGGGACUUAACCCAACAUCUCACGACACGAGCUGACGACAGCCAUGCGCCACCUGUACACCAACCACAAGGGGGCCUGUAUCUCUACAGGUUUCUAGUGCAUGUCAAGCCCAGGUAAGGUUCUUCGCGUUGCAUCGAAUUAAUCCACAUGCUCCGCCGCUUGUGCGGGCCCCCGUCAAUUCCUUUGAGUUUCAGCCUUGCGGCCGUACUCCCCAGGCGGGGCACUUAAUGCGUUAGCGCCGGCACCCAGGGGGUCGCUCCCCCAGGCACCUAGUGCCCAUCGUUUACGGCUGGGACUAC